rnacentral:tRNA from 1 species
GGUGGGGUGGCCGAGUGGCUAAUGGCAGCAGACUGUAAAUCUGCCGGGUUUACGCCCUACGUAGGUUCGAAUCCUACCCCCACCA